GCGAGCGUGGCGGAAUCGGCAGACGCGCCGGGUUUAGGUCCCGGUGUCUUCGGACGUGGGGGUUCGAGUCCCCCCGCUCGCA
rnacentral:tRNA from 1 species